GCCUUUCAUGGCUUCUUUUACCUUCCUCAACCACUUCUGAGGAUGAAGUGAAGUCUACUGAUUUACUUUGGUGGUCAUUCCUUCUUCCUAGAGAUUUACAUAUGGCCUCGAUUAUCAAACUAAUCAGGAACAAUAGAUAUUCAGUUGAGCAAUAUUCUCCUAGCUUAGUAGCCCAUCAAUUUGGUCUAGCUCAAACUAUUCGAUGCCUCUUUUUAUUUUCUUUGAACCACAACUUUUUUUUACCGAAUCUCUAUUACCGAUCCUACCACCAUAAAAUUGGCUGAUUACAUUUAUAACCAAUCUUAUGCUGUCUUCAAAUUUCAUCCUUUUGAUCCCAAACUGACUACCACUAAAGACUUUCUGACAUGGUGGGCAACUCAUCUAGAGACCAUCUGAUGGGAGCCAGUUUUAGAUGUCUUGACUCAGAUUACUCAUGGUGGAGCUUUCCUACCACCUG
rnacentral:lncRNA from 1 species